rnacentral:lncRNA from 1 species
CAUUCCGUAUAUGGGCUUGGCGACCAGGCCGAGUAUAGGGUGUUACAUUUGGUGGUAUCAGAGCCCUAGGUUCAAUAACACUUAGACCUAGGUGAUUGUUGUGUAUUGUAGGGUUGCGAAACCCAAGUGAUUAAAUUAUUUCAGUUGCUUGUAUUGCAUGAGAUAUCUUUUGUUUGUGAUUCUUGUAGGGUAAGAAUGGGAACAGAUUGCCUUUUAUCCUAAAUUUUUCUUGCAAGAAUGUAACUUGAAUCAUUCCCCACCACUCACAUUGUUUAUUUGUUUGUGUUAAUGUGAGAGCUAGUGUUCAAAAGAAUGGUACAUCCUCUGCACCUCUUGUGUC